UGUGUAGGCGGUCUCAUAAGUCGGGUGUGAAAGCCCAGGGCUCAACCCUGGAAGUGCACUCGAAACUGCGAGGCUAGAGUACCGGAGAGGUUGGUGGAAUUCUCGGUGUAGAGGUGAAAUUCGUAGAUAUCGAGAGGAACACCGGUGGCGAAGGCGGCCAACUGGACGAGUACUGACGCUGAGACACGAAAGCGUGGGGAGCAAACAGGAUUAGAUACCCUGGUAGUCCACGCCGUAAACGAUGGGUGCUAGGUGUCGCGGGCUUUGACUCCUGCGGUGCCGUAGCUAACGCAUUAAGCACCCCGCCUGGGAAGUACGGCCGCAAGGCUAAA
rnacentral:rRNA from 1 species